ACCGUGCAAAGGUAGCAUAAUCAUUUGCCUAUUAAUUGUAGGCUAGUAUGAAUGGACAAACGCGAACUAUACUGUCUCCUUUAGGAUAUUAAAAAUUUAUAUUUAAGUGAAGAAGCUUAAAUACAUUCGCAGGACAAGAAGACCCUAUAGAGCUUUACCAUAAACCUUAUCGUAAAUAAGCUAAUUGGUUCGGUUGGGGCGACCAAGGAACAUCAAUCAUCCUUAAUUAUUAAGAUUWACUAAUCACAAAAAAGAUCCUCUUUGGAGAUCACAGAAUCAAGCUACCUUAGGGAUAACAGGCUAAUUCCUCUAGAGAGCCCUUAUUGACAGAGGAGG
rnacentral:rRNA from 1 species